rnacentral:rRNA from 1 species
GACGAACGCUGGCGGCGUGCCUAAUACAUGCAAGUAGAACGCAGUGGCGAACGGGUGAGUAACGCGUGGGGAACGGCCUCAUAGCGGGGGAUAACUAUUGGAAACGAUAGCUAAUACGCCAUACUGUGAGAUGGACCUGCGUUGUAUUAGCGAGGUGGUGAGGUAACGGGUCACCAAGGCGACGAUACCUAGCCGAUCUGAGAGGGUGAACCGCCAAAAUGGGACGGGUGCCCGGGCCAGACGCCUGCGGGGGGUAGCAGUAGGGAAAUUUCGGAAAUUGACGGAAGUCCGAACGAGCAAAGCCGGGGGAGUGAAGAAGGUUUUUGGAGCUUAAAGCUCCGUUGUUUGAGAAGCGGUAACUAACCAGAAAGGGACGGCUAACUCCGUGCCAGCAGCCGCGGUAAUUC